rnacentral:rRNA from 1 species
UACGGAGGAUCCAAGCGUUAUCCGGAUUUAUUGGGCUUAAAGGGUGCGUAGGUGGGUUAUUACGUCAGUGGUGAAAGCCUGCAGCUUAACUGCAGAAUUGCCAUUGAUACUGAUAGUCUUGAGUAUAGUUGAGGUGGGCGGAAUGUGUCAUGUAGCGGUGAAAUGCUUAGAUAUGACACAGAACACCGAUUGCGUAGGCAGCUCGCUAAACUAUAACUGACACUGAGGCACGAAAGCGUGGGGAGCAAACAGG